rnacentral:rRNA from 1 species
AGUAGAGUGGCAAACGGGUGAGUAACACGUGGGUGACCUGCCUCAGAGUGGGGGAUAACGUUCCGAAAGGAGCGCUAAUACCGCAUGACAUCCUGCGCUUGGAAGCGCGGUGAUUAAAGCCGGGGAUCGCAAGACCUGGCGCUUGGAGAGGGGCCCGCGGCCGAUUAGCUAGUUGGUGGGGUAAUGGCUCACCAAGGCAACGAUCGGUAUCCGGCCUGAGAGGGCGGACGGACACACUGGGACUGAGACACGGCCCAGACUCCUACGGGAGGCAGCAGUGGGGAAUUGUUCGCAAUGGGCGCAAGCCUGACGACGCAACGCCGCGUGGAGGAUGAAGACCUUCGGGUCGUAAACUCCUUUCGAUCGGGAAGAACAGUUCCCGGGUCAAUAACCCGGGAGUUUGACGGUACCGAGAGAAGAAGCCCCGGCUAACUCCGUGCCAGCAGC